GAAUAGGAUAGAGGGAGGAGCCAAGAUGGCCGAAUAGGAACAGCUCCGGUCUACAGCUCCCAGCCUGAGCGACGCAGAAGACGGUGAUUUCUGCAUUUCCAUCUGAGUGAAGGAAGAAUAAUCUGAGCUUGAAAUAAAGACUUAGAAUAUAGAUCACCGCCUGCAACCUUCUCACUCAAAAUUAGAAGACAUUACUGGAUAGUUUCAAGGGAAGUUAUUAACUUGAGAAAAACCCAGAAAUAAGCCAUGGAAGAUGUGCCUGCUUCCCCUUCACCUUCCACUACGAUUGAAAAUUUCCUGAGACCUCCUCAGAAGCCGAGCAGGUGCCAGCUUCAUGCUUCCUUUACAGCCUGUGGAAGCGUGAGCCAAUUAAACCUCUUCUCUUUAUAAAUUA